GAUGAACCCUGGCGGCGUGCCUAAUACAUGCAAGUCGAGCGAACAGAUGAGGAGCUUGCUCCUCUGACGUUAGCGGCGGACGGGUGAGUAACACGUGGAUAACCUACCUAUAAGACUGGGAUAACUUCGGGAAACCGGAGCUAAUACCGGAUAAUAUAUUGAACCGCAUGGUUCAAUAGUGAAAGACGGUUUUGCUGUCACUUAUAGAUGGAUCCGCGCCGCAUUAGCUAGUUGGUAAGGUAACGGCUUACCAAGGCAACGAUGCGUAGCCGACCUGAGAGGGUGAUCGGCCACACUGGAACUGAGACACGGUCCAGACUCCUACGGGAGGCAGCAGUAGGGAAUCUUCCGCAAUGGGCGAAAGCCUGACGGAGCAACGCCGCGUGAGUGAUGAAGGUCUUGGGAUCGUAAAACUCUGUUAUUAGGGAAGAACAAAUGUGUAAGUAACUAUGCACGUCUUGACGGUACCUAAUCAGAAAGCCACGGCUAACUACGUG
rnacentral:rRNA from 1 species